UAUUCUAUAAAUUCAAUAAAAUUAAAUAAUAACAGAAAGUGAUUGAUUGGGUGAUCAGUCCGAUAGACCAUCCGGACACUAAAUUGAUUCGGGGUUAUAGGUCUCUAGAAGAGGAAAAGAUGGCCCAAUACAUGAUCUACAAGUCUUUUUUAGAGAGAGAAAGGAGGAGAGAGAAAAUUUUUGGAGAGAGAAAAUAGAGAGAGAAAGUGGAGAGAGAAGAGAGGGAGAAAGAGGGGAG
rnacentral:lncRNA from 1 species